AAACAGAGGAAGCUCGUCGGAGCUUGCGGUUUCGACGGUGGGAUGCGUAUCUGUGGCAACGGAGUGGUGAGGGAGCUUUCUCGGACUCAUGCGCAUUUUAUGGUGUCCUCUACUCGGUCGGAGGUGGUCUGCAGGAGCGUGGCCACGCGGAGGUGGAGCUCGGCGGUGCUCUAGACCGUAGAAAGAAGAUGGCGGCUCUAGGCUGACUCCGAUGGUGCGAGGCCGCGCAAGAAGACUCAGCAAAAGCGCAAGAGUGAUGCGAAGUUGUGUCCAUGG
rnacentral:lncRNA from 1 species